UUUUCUUAAUUUAACCAAAUUUGAUUUAGAAUAAAAAGGAUGCAUUCUAAUGUUUCUGGGCAUUUUUUAUUUCUUUGUUUCAUUUUGCAGAGAAAAAGUAGAAACAUCAAGGGGCAAAUGAAAUGAAUGAUGAUCUCACAAUCCACAACUCAUGAUGAUGGUGUGACUGGUGUCCAAAUGGGACGAAAUGUUUUCUGCUGAGCUGUUCCAGCUCAGGCCCAGAUGCUCAAACAAAGGAGCCUUGUGAUGGGAAACACCAAACUCAUGGACAUUCAUGAUGAAGAAGAUCAUAAAGUGAACUGAUGGACACUUUAACUCUUUAAGUGUCUUUAUGAAGUCUAAGAGAGUCCUGCAGACUGGAGAAACUCAAGACUGGUGUAAUAUUUGACAUUCCUUCACAUUUAACAGGAAGAUCAUAUUUCAUUGUAAUGCAUUUUUCAUGUCAUGUAUUUCACAUUUAUCUGUCUGUAAGUAAGCACAAGCCUUUUGAGUGAAUUGUGCUGUGUGAAGAUGUUUUUACCAUGAGCAGUAAUUCUCAGCUAACAGAAACUGUGUGAGAGAAAUGUGAAUGUUUUAAAAAAAAACAUACAGAAGCACCCAUAUCUCACUGUUUGCCAUAAUAGAGACAAUUUUAUCUCUUGUUCUGUGUUUUAUCAGCAUAUAAAUGAUGAAAAGCUUUUGUCAACUAUUAAUCUCUGUACAGAAAUAGUGCUUCAUUCACAUCCUGUUUCAAGUCCUAUUAAAAUUUUUAUUUGAAGUUGUUUGUCAUGUACUGCAUAUAAAUAAAUGUAAGAAACUCA